rnacentral:rRNA from 1 species
GAUGAACGCUGGCGGCGUGCCUAAUACAUGCAAGUCGAGCGAACGGACGAGAAGCUUGCUUCUCUGAUGUUAGCGGCGGACGGGUGAGUAACACGUGGAUAACCUACCUAUAAGACUGGGAUAACUUCGGGAAACCGUAGCUAAUACCGGAUAAUAUUUUGAACCGCAUGGUUCAAAAGUGAAAGACGGUCUUGCUGUCACUUAUAGAUGGAUCCGCGCUGCAUUAGCUAGUUGGUAAGGUAACGGCUUACCAAGGCAACGAUGCAUAGCCGACCUGAGAGGGGGAUAGGCCACACUGGAACUCGGACAGGGUCCAGACGCCUACGGGAGGCAGCAGUAGGGAAUCGGCCGCAAUGGGCGAAAGCCUUACGGAGCAACGCCGCGUGAGUGAUGGAGGUCUUCGGAUCGUAAAACUCUGUUAUUAGGGAAGAACAUAUGUGUAAGGAACUGUGCACAUCUUGACGGUACCUAAUCAGAAAGCCACGGCUAACUACGUG